rnacentral:rRNA from 1 species
AGGAUGCUUCUGGCCAGCGGCCGUUCUAAGUUCCUUGGAACAGGACGUCAUAGAGGGUGAGAAUCCCGUAUGUGACCGGCGCGCAGCCUCCACGUAGCUCCUUCGACGAGUCGAGUUGUUUGGGAAUGCAGCUCUAAAUGGGUGGUAAAUUCCAUCUAAAGCUAAAUAUUGGCCAGAGACCGAUAGCGCACAAGUAGAGUGAUCGAAAGAUGAAAAGCACUUUGGAAAGAGAGUUAAAAAGCACGUGAAAUUGUUGAAAGGGAAGCGCUUCCAACCAGACUCCGCGGCGGUGUUCCGCCGGUCUUCUGACCGGUCUACUCGCCGCCGUGGGGCCAACAUCGUCUGGGGCCGCCGGAUAAGACCGUAGGAAUGUAGCUCAUUGAGUGUUAUAGCCUGCGGUGAUGCGGCGCGCCCCGGGCGAGGUCCGCGCUUCGGCAAGGAUGUUGGCGUAAUGGUUGGCAGCGGCCCGUCUUGAAACACGGACCAAGGAGUCUAACAUCUAUGCGAGUGUUCGGGUGUCACACCCCUACGCGUAAUGAAAGUGAACGGAGGUGGGAGCUUCGGCGCACCAUCGACCGAUCCUGAUGUCCUCGGAUGGAUUUGAUGAAGA